rnacentral:rRNA from 1 species
GGGUUCGGGUCUAUGGCGUUGGUUGUAGCUGGCUCCUAGACAUUGUGCACGCCCGUCAUUCAUAUCAUCUUUCCACCUGUGAACCAUCUGUAGGCCUGGAUACCCCUCGCUUUGGCAACAAAGCGGAUGCAAGGAUUGCUGCGUCUACAAAGCCCGGCUCUCUUUGAAUUUCCAGGCUCUAUGUCUUUUUACACACCCCAUUUGAAUGAUCUAAAAUGUACUCAAUGGGCUUUCAUGCCUAUAAAAAACUAUACAACUUUCAACAACGGAUCUCUUGGCUCUCGCAUCCAUGAAGAACGCAGCGAAAUGCGAUAAUUAAAGUGAAUUGCAAAAUUCAAUGAAUCAUCUAAUCUUUGAACCCACCUUGCGAUCCUUGGUAUUCCAAGGAGCAUGCCAGUUUGACUGACAUUAAAUUCUCAACCUCCCCAGUUUUGUAACCAGACAUGUGAAGGCUUGCAUGUGGGGGUUUUGCACGCUGCCUCAGUGCUGGUCUGCUCUCCUGAAAUGAAUACCCGAGCACAUAUUGAGCUUCCGUCUAUUGGUGAAAUAAUUAUCUACGCCGUGGAUUGGACUCAUGCUUGCUUCUAACUGUCCGCAAGGACAAUUUACUUGACCAAUUUGACCUCAAAUCAGGUAGGACUACCCGCUGAACUUAAGCAUAUCAAUAAGCGGAGGAA